rnacentral:rRNA from 1 species
GACGAACGCUGGCGGCGUGCUUAACACAUGCAAGUCGAACGGAAAGGCCCUGCUUUUGUGGGGUGCUCGAGUGGCGAACGGGUGAGUAACACGUGAGUAACCUGCUCUUGACUUUGGGAUAACUUCAGGAAACUGGGGCUAAUACCGGAUAGGAGCUCCUGCUGCAUGGUGGGGGUUGGAAAGUUUCGGCGGUUGGGGAUGGACUCGCGGCUUAUUAGCUUGUUGGUGGGGUAGUGGCUUACCAAGGGUUUGAAUGGUAGCCCGCGUGGGAGGGUGACCGGCCACAUUGCGACUAAGGUACGGCCCAGACUCCUACGGUAGACAGCAGUGGGAAAUAUUGCACAAUGGGCGGGAGCCUGAUGCAGCAACGCCGCGUGCGGGAUGACGGCCUUCGGGUUGUAAACCGCUUUCGCCUGUGACGAAGCGGGAGUGACGGUAAUGGGUAAAGAAGCACCGGCUAACUACGUG